rnacentral:rRNA from 1 species
GAAUACGACCAUCCCACCCCGAGAACGCCUGAUCUCGUCUGAUCUCAGAAGGUAAGCAGGGUUGGACCCAGUUAGUACUUGGAUGGGAGACCACCUGGGAAUACUGGGUGCUGUAGGCU